AGCGAACGCUGGCGGUAGGCCUAACACAUGCAAGUCGAACGGCAACACAGUAAGGGCUGGCUCUGACGGGUGGCGAGUGGUGGACGGGUGGGGAAUACAUCGGAACCUACUGUUUCGUGGGGGAUAACGUAGGUAAACUUACGCUAUUACCGCAUACGACCUACGGGUGAAAGCAGGGGGUCUUCGGACCUUGCGCGAUUGGAUGAGUCGAUGUCGGAUUAGCUAGUUGGCGGGGUAAAGGCCCACCAAGGCGACGAUCCGUAGCUGGUCUGAGAGGAGGAUCGGCCACCCUGGAGGUGAGACACGGUCCAGACUCCUGAGGGAGGGAGCAGUGGGGAAUGUUGGGCAAUGGGCGCAAGCCUGGCGCAGCGAUCCCGCGUGGGUGGAGAAGGCGUUGGGGUUGUGAAGCCGUCUUGUUGGGAAAGAACAGCUGUCGGUUAAUACCAAGCUGUAGUGACGGUACCUAAAGAAUAAGCACCGGCUAACUACGUG
rnacentral:rRNA from 1 species